AUAAGCUGUCCGUCUGAUUUUUUGCAGAUCGCUUGCAGACUGUGGCAGCGCCACAGACAAGCACGUCCCUGGUCUGUGUCUGUCUGUAAGUAAUUCAAGUGAUGUAAGAGUUAGAGUCUUGUUCCAAAUAUGUUAAAACGACGGGGACUGAAAGGGGACAUUACCAUUACCGAGCGUGCGUCUAAAUAUUUGUAUUUAUUUUAAGCAAAUCACGUAAUACAAUGGUUUUCUCCGCUGAAAAGUUUUUUUUUUUAUGUCUGUGUCUGUGUCAGCAGACAGCUGUUCAUAAAUACACAGUGAGCUAAUAGGGGCAAAGGGAUUGUACUACCUCUUCAAAGACAGCUGAAAGGAAGGGGAGGUGUUGUGUCAUACAGGGCACCAAAGAAGCGGGACUCCAAUGUCUCCUCGCCAACCCCCCACCCCCGCAGAAGCGGAACGUUUCGGCCAACGGGAGGCGCGGUGGUGAACCAGGUACUGUUGCUGCAGACGGAGAAGCUGCUCUCGCACCAGGAAAGUUGCUCGGCCUCCAUGUUGCCUUGACUGGCAGUGGGGGGCGGGGGGGGGGGUGUAUGUACGGGGGUCACCUCUGGCAAUCCGAGGUUUUUUUUCCCAGCACAGAAAUUCCCCCGUAAAACGUUUAAUCAAAGAAUGGCCAAAUAACAGUGGCACCCACCAAUUUCUUUUUUUUUGCCAGUCUUUGUUUUUGUGUAUGUAUAUUUGGCUACAAUAAGC